rnacentral:rRNA from 1 species
AGCGUACACGGUGGAUGCCCUGGCAGUCAGAGGCGAUGAAGGACGUGCUAAUCUGCGAUAAGCGUCGGUAAGGUGAUAUGAACCGUUAUAACCGGCGAUUUCCGAAUGGGGAAACCCAGUGUGUUUCGACACACUAUCAUUAACUGAAUCCAUAGGUUAAUGAGGCGAACCGGGGGAACUGAAACAUCUAAGUACCCCGAGGAAAAGAAAUCAACCGAGAUUCCCCCAGUAGCGGCGAGCGAACGGGGAGCAGCCCAGAGCCUGAAUCAGUAUGUGUGUUAGUGGAAGCGUCUGGAAAGGCGCGCGAUACAGGGUGACAGCCCCGUACACAAAAAUGCACAUGCUGUGAGCUCGAUGAGUAGGGCGGGACACGUGGUAUCCUGUCUGAAUAUGGGGGGACCAUCCUCCAAGGCUAAAUACUCCUGACUGACCGAUAGUGAACCAGUACCGUGAGGGAAAGGCGAAAAGAACCCCGGCGAGGGGAGUGAAAAAGAACCUGAAACCGUGUACGUACAAGCAGUGGGAGCUCGCUUAGGCGUGUGACUGCGUACCUUUUGUAUAAUGGGUCAGCGACUUAUAUUCUGUAGCAAGGUUAACCGAAUAGGGGAGCCGAAGGGAAACCGAGUCUUAACUGGGCGUUAAGUUGCAGGGUAUAGACCCGAAACCCGGUGAUCUAGCCAUGGGCAGGUUGAAGGUUGGGUAACACUAACUGGAGGACCGAACCGACUAAUGUUGAAAAAUUAGCGGAUGACUUGUGGCUGGGGGUGAAAGGCCAAUCAAACCGGGAGAUAGCUGGUUCUCCCCGAAAGCUAUUUAGGUAGCGCCUCGUGAAUUCAUCUCCGGGGGUAGAGCACUGUUUCGGCAAGGGGGUCAUCCCGACUUACCAACCCGAUGCAAACUGCGAAUACCGGAGAAUGUUAUCACGGGAGACACACGGCGGGUGCUAACGUCCGUCGUGAAGAGGGAAACAACCCAGACCGCCAGCUAAGGUCCCAAAGUCAUGGUUAAGUGGGAAACGAUGUGGGAAGGCCCAGACAGCCAGGAUGUUGGCUUAGAAGCAGCCAUCAUUUAAAGAAAGCGUAAUAGCUCACUGGUCGAGUCGGCCUGCGCGGAAGAUGUAACGGGGCUAAACCAUGCACCGAAGCUGCGGCAGCGACGCUUAUGCGUUGUUGGGUAGGGGAGCGUUCUGUAAGCCUGCGAAGGUGUGCUGUGAGGCAUGCUGGAGGUAUCAGAAGUGCGAAUGCUGACAUAAGUAACGAUAAAGCGGGUGAAAAGCCCGCUCGCCGGAAGACCAAGGGUUCCUGUCCAACGUUAAUCGGGGCAGGGUGAGUCGACCCCUAAGGCGAGGCCGAAAGGCGUAGUCGAUGGGAAACAGGUUAAUAUUCCUGUACUUGGUGUUACUGCGAAGGGGGGACGGAGAAGGCUAUGUUGGCCGGGCGACGGUUGUCCCGGUUUAAGCGUGUAGGCUGGUUUUCCAGGCAAAUCCGGAAAAUCAAGGCUGAGGCGUGAUGACGAGGCACUACGGUGCUGAAGCAACAAAUGCCCUGCUUCCAGGAAAAGCCUCUAAGCAUCAGGUAACAUCAAAUCGUACCCCAAACCGACACAGGUGGUCAGGUAGAGAAUACCAAGGCGCUUGAGAGAACUCGGGUGAAGGAACUAGGCAAAAUGGUGCCGUAACUUCGGGAGAAGGCACGCUGAUAUGUAGGUGAAGUCCCUCGCGGAUGGAGCUGAAAUCAGUCGAAGAUACCAGCUGGCUGCAACUGUUUAUUAAAAACACAGCACUGUGCAAACACGAAAGUGGACGUAUACGGUGUGACGCCUGCCCGGUGCCGGAAGGUUAAUUGAUGGGGUUAGCGCAAGCGAAGCUCUUGAUCGAAGCCCCGGUAAACGGCGGCCGUAACUAUAACGGUCCUAAGGUAGCGAAAUUCCUUGUCGGGUAAGUUCCGACCUGCACGAAUGGCGUAAUGAUGGCCAGGCUGUCUCCACCCGAGACUCAGUGAAAUUGAACUCGCUGUGAAGAUGCAGUGUACCCGCGGCAAGACGGAAAGACCCCGUGAACCUUUACUAUAGCUUGACACUGAACAUUGAGCCUUGAUGUGUAGGAUAGGUGGGAGGCUUUGAAGUGUGGACGCCAGUCUGCAUGGAGCCGACCUUGAAAUACCACCCUUUAAUGUUUGAUGUUCUAACGUUGACCCGUAAUCCGGGUUGCGGACAGUGUCUGGUGGGUAGUUUGACUGGGGCGGUCUCCUCCUAAAGAGUAACGGAGGAGCACGAAGGUUGGCUAAUCCUGGUCGGACAUCAGGAGGUUAGUGCAAUGGCAUAAGCCAGCUUGACUGCGAGCGUGACGGCGCGAGCAGGUGCGAAAGCAGGUCAUAGUGAUCCGGUGGUUCUGAAUGGAAGGGCCAUCGCUCAACGGAUAAAAGGUACUCCGGGGAUAACAGGCUGAUACCGCCCAAGAGUUCAUAUCGACGGCGGUGUUUGGCACCUCGAUGUCGGCUCAUCACAUCCUGGGGCUGAAGUAGGUCCCAAGGGUAUGGCUGUUCGCCAUUUAAAGUGGUACGCGAGCUGGGUUUAGAACGUCGUGAGACAGUUCGGUCCCUAUCUGCCGUGGGCGCUGGAGAACUGAGGGGGGCUGCUCCUAGUACGAGAGGACCGGAGUGGACGCAUCACUGGUGUUCGGGUUGUCAUGCCAAUGGCACUGCCCGGUAGCUAAAUGCGGAAGAGAUAAGUGCUGAAAGCAUCUAAGCACGAAACUUGCCCCGAGAUGAGUUCUCCCUGACUCCUUGA